GUAGGGCAUCUGAGAGUCCAGCAAAUCAUUCCAUGGGCUUUAGAUUUCAGCCAUGGAUUCUCUCCAUGAGUGCUCUGAGAGAACUCUCCAGUCUCCUGACUUGGCAGUGGCUACACAGGCUGUUGACCUGGCUGUGUGGGUUGUGGGAGAUUCCUGAGAUCCCAUUUACCAACUUCUAACCUUUCUUUCCCUCUUGUUUCCAGGCUGAUUUCUCAACCUCUCUGUCGUGAGUUGACUCGUGUACUCCCAAAAGCUAUGUUGAAGUUCUAACCCCGGUACCUGUGAAUGUGGCCAUGUUUGGAAAUAGGGUCUUUGCAGAUGUUAGUUAUCAAGGUUUUCUUAGUGUGAAAUAUGAACUCAUGAGCAUCUGGCCUGGGAACUGGACCAGUUUUAAAUCUCGUGUUGAGAGCCGGAAGAUGCUGGAGAAGGAAUGUGGUGGAAUGACUGCCUGAGAAUGAACCAUUCUCCAGUGAGAGGGGGCUUCGAUAUUGAAAGGGCAAUUUGGCCUUAACUUGGAAAUGCUGGAGAUUGAUUGCAUACAAUCUGUCCUGCUAGUGAGAGAAGCAAGGACUGCAUCUAAGUGCAACAUGAAGACUUUUGGUCCCAAGCUUUCCUCCAACUUCAGUGGGAGGCAGCCCAAAACCACCGUCGGUUCAAGAAUACAAGUGACCUGCAAUUCUUGGAAAGACUCCCCCAAUUCUUCUCCCAAUAUGUGGUCAGCUUUUCCAGCAGGAUUAGGGAGGGAGGAGUUUCAGCUGUGCUUCUAAGAUCUUCCAGAAUGAAUUUUCUACCUCAAAAAUCAAGGACUUUUCUGGAAACUGCAGUCAGAGGACAGAACAUCAGCCUCAAGCUGGUAAAUAGGAUGGAUUUUCUCCCUAAACAUCCCUUCUGCUUUCUAGUUUGAAUUAUCAAUAAAAUGGUUUGGCUUAUCUCUGAAAAUAACCUUGUUGACAACACAAAUAUGGAUUUAAACACGCUACCUCCACAUUAAGAUUUAAGAAGCCCCCAGUAAAUGUCAGGGGGUGUCAAUGUGUUUGCUGUGAUACUUGGUUAUUAUUAGUGUUUAACUGCAAUUCCCCACCAGCGCCACGCUGCCUGCACCACCAUAAAUUUUAAUGUGAUCAUGUGCUCUUCUCUUUUCAUAUCCAGUGAAUUCUGCAAGAUCAUAAUAUUCUAUAUGAACCCUAGCUGAACCUUAGUGUGAUAUGAAGAAAGAACAAGAUUUCAAGCAAUAAUAGUUGUUCACCAUUUUAUAGCUUUUUUUAACUGGACACUGAGCAACAUGGUUCCUUGAAUAAUAUUACCCUAAACUAAAUUCACUCAUUCAAUUAAUCUUUAUUGAUACCCUACAGGAUGCAGGGCAUGGCUCAAAGUGCUAAUGAGUACAUUUAUGGGAUAGUAAAGAAUACUGACUCUUAAAGAAAUCUUUUUUUUUCCCCUUGGAAAAUCUGUCAGAGCUCAUACAUCAUUUAUAAAACCGAAAAAAAUGUCUCUGCAACCUUGGCACCACUACAUGCCUUUUAUUUUACAGAAUACAAACAAAAGCAGAGUCAUUUCCGAUAUCUAGUCUACAUCGUGAAUAUAAGAAAUAUGUCCCUCAUCUUUUAUCAUGUAUUUAUAGUUAUAAUUUAUUUAUUAUGUAUGUG
rnacentral:lncRNA from 10 species